UCUAGUGACGAUGGCGGAGAGGCCACACCUGUUCCCAUGCCGAACACAGAAGUUAAGCUCUCCAGCGCCGAUGGUAGUUCGGUUGACCCGUGCUAGAGUAGGACGUCGCUAGGC
rnacentral:rRNA from 3 species